UAAUACGUAGGGGGCUAGCGUUGUCCGGAAUCAUUGGGCGUAAAGAGCGCGUAGGCGGCCCGGUAAGUCCGUUGUAAAAGUCCAGGGCUCAACCCUGGAAAGCCGAUGGAUACUGCCGGGCUAGAGUCCGGAAGAGGCGAGUGGAAUUCCUGGUGUAGCGGUGGAAUGCGCAGAUAUCAGGAGGAACACCAAUAGCGAAGGCAGCUCGCUGGGACGGCACUGACGCUGAGGCGCGAAAGCGUGGGGAGCGAACAGGAUUAGAUACCCUGGUAGUCCACGCCGUAAACGAUGGGCACUAGGUGUGGGGGGUGUCGACUCCCCCCGUGCCGGCGCUAACGCAUUAAGUGCCCCGCCUGGGGAGUACGGCCGCAAGGCUA
rnacentral:rRNA from 1 species